AUGAUAUCUCAUUUCAAUAAUAGAAACCAUAUAGACAGUAACGAAAGACCAGUAACAAAUUUAAUUACAAUGAAGUUGAGAUCAAGUUUACCGGAUUUCUUAAAACUAAAAACAAAGGCAAGAACAAUCCAACUCAAUAUCGAAAGAAUCCUCGUCCAACCAAAAAUAACACACAAAUAG